rnacentral:rRNA from 1 species
AGGGCGCACAGUGGAUGCCUAGGCACUAGAAGGCGAAGAAGGACGCAACUAACGGCGAAACGCUACGGGUAGCAGUAAGUAAGCAAUGAUCCGUAGAUAUCCGAAUGAGGCAACUCACCAUGAAGAAGACAUGGUAUACCGAAAGGUAGGCAAGACCCAGCGAAUUGAAAUAUCUUAGUAGCUGGAGGAAAAGAAAGCAAAAGCGAUUUUCUCAGUAGCGACGAGCGAAAGGGAAGGAACCCAAAUUCACGGCAUAUGAAAUUUUUGAUAGAUGAACCACUCUGGGAAGGUGGACCGAAGAAGGUGAAAGUCCUGUAAUUGAAAUCAAGGAUGGAAUUAGUGAGAAAGAGUACGGCGAGACACGAGAAAUCUUGUCGGAAUAAGCGAGGACCAUCUCGUAAGGUUAAAUACUAGCUAGUGACCGAUAGCGAACCAGUACCGUGAGGGAAAGGUGAAAAGAACCCCGGGAGGGGAGUGAAAGAGAACCUGAAACUGUGUGCUUACAAGUAGUCAGAGGACGUUAAAGUCUGAUGGCGUGCCUUUUGUAGAAUGAACCGGCGAGUUACGGUAUUUAGCAAGGUUAAGUCUAAAGGGACGGAGCCGAAGCGAAAGCGAGUCUGAAUAGGGCGAGAAGUUGAAUGCUGUAGACCCGAAACCCGGCGAGCUAGCCAUGAGCAGGUUGAAGUUUGAGUAAAAUCAAAUGGAGGACCGAACUAGGGCCUGUUGAAAAAGGCUUGGAUGACUUGUGGCUAGGGGUGAAAUUCCAAUCGAGCUGGGAUAUAGCUGGUUCUCCCCGAAAUAACUUUAGGGCUAGCGUUAAACAAGAGUUUUAUGAAGGUAGAGCACUGAAUAGUAGAUGGUCCCACCUCGGGAUACUGACAUUAAUCAAACUCCGAAUGUCAUAAAACGCGUUUAGCAGUCAGACUGCGAGUGAUAAGGUCCGUGGUCAAAAGGAAAAGAGUCCAGACCGCCAAAUAAGGUCCCAAAAUAUAUGCUAAGUGGAGAAGGAUGUAGAGAUGCAUAAACAACUAGGAUGUUGGCUUAGAAGCAGCCAUCAUUUAAAGAGUGCGUAAUAGCUCACUAGUCGAGUGACUCCGCGCCGAAAAUGUACCGGGGCUAAGCAUAUUACCGAAUUUGCGGAUUCGAUACGAAAGUAUUGAGUGGUAGGGGAGCGUUCCAUAUUGGGAAGAAGCAAGAUCGAGAGGACUUGUGGACUAUAUGGAAGUGAGAAUGCCGGUGUGAGUAACGAAAAGACAGGUGAGAAUCCUGUCCGUCAAAAACCCAAGGUUUCCAGGGGAAGGGUCGUCCGCCCUGGGUAAGUCUGGGCCUAAGGUGAGGCCGAGAGGCGUAGCUGAUGGAUAUCUGGUGUAUAUUCCAGAACUAGUAUAAUGACUGAUGGAGUGACGAAGAAGGCUAGGAUCCGAUUCUUAGUGGAUUGAAUACGAGAUAUCAAGAGGGGAUGUAGGCAAAUCCGCAUCUAUAAAUCAAGAUAUGACAGGUAAAGGAUAACGAAGUCAAGCUUCCAAGAAAAGCUUCUAGGGUUAAUCAUUAUACUACCAGUACCGUAAACCGACACAGGUGGGUAGGAAGAGAAUUCUAAGACGCGCGAGAAAACCCUUGUUAAGGAACUCUGCAAGUUGGCCCCGUAAGUUCGCAAUAAGGGGAGCUCAUGUAAAAGUGAGCCACAGAAAAGAAGCCCAAGCAACUGUUUAACAAAAACACAGGUUUAUGCAAAACCGUAAGGUGAAGUAUAUGAGCUGACACCUGCCCGGUGCUGGAAGGUUAAGAGGAGAGGUUCGAGCAAUCGAAUCCUUGAAUUGAAGCCCCAGUAAACGGCGGCCGUAACUAUAACGGUCCUAAGGUAGCGAAAUUCCUUGUCAGGUAAGUUCUGACCCGCACGAAAGGUGUAAUGUCUUUGGGCACUGUCUCAACAGGGGACUCGGUGAAAUCAAACUGCCGGUGAAAAUGCCGGCUACCCGCGAUAAGACGGAAAGACCCCAUGGAGCUUUACUGUAGGUUGAUAUUGAUAUUUGGUAUGUAAUGUACAGGAUAGGUGGGAGACUAUGAAGCUAGGACGUUAGUCUUGGUGGAGUCGACGUUGGGAUACCACCCUUUGCCUAUCGAGUAUCUAACUAGUGUAAGUGGAUUACAAAGGACAGUGUCAG